GAUGAACGCUGGCGGCGUGCCUAAUACAUGCAAGUCGAGCGAACGGACGAGAAGCUUGCUUUUCUGAUGUUAGCGGCGGACGGGUGAGUAACACGUGGAUAACCUACCUAUAAGACUGGGAUAACUUCGGGAAACCGGAGCUAAUACCGGAUAAUAUUUUGAACCGCAUGGUUCAAAAGUGAAAGACGGUCUUGCUGUCACUUAUAGAUGGAUCCGCGCUGCAUUAGCUAGUUGGUAAGGUAACGGCUUACCAAGGCAACGAUGCAUAGCCGACCUGAGAGGGUGAUCGGCCACACUGGAACUGAGACACGGUCCAGACUCCUACGGGAGGCAGCAGUAGGGAAUCUUCCGCAAUGGGCGAAAGCCUGACGGAGCAACGCCGCGUGAGUGAUGAAGGUCUUCGGAUCGUAAAACUCUGUUAUUAGGGAAGAACAUAUGUGUAAGUAACUGUGUACAUCUUGACGGUACCUAAUCAGAAAGCCACGGCUAACUACGUG
rnacentral:rRNA from 1 species